GAUGAACGCUAGCGGCAGGCUUAACACAUGCAAGUCGAACGGCAGCACAGGUAGCAAUACUGGGUGGCGAGUGGCGCACGGGUGCGUAACGCGUAUGCAACCUACCUCUAUCUGGGAGAUAGCCCGAAGAAAUUCGGAUUAAUACCCCAUAAUAUAUGUCUUUCGCAUGUUAGACAUAUUAAAGCUUUGGCGGAUAGAGAUGGGCAUGCGUGACAUCAGCUAGUUGGUAAGGUAACGGCUUACCAAGGCUACGAUGUCUAGGGGGUCUGAGAGGAUUAUCCCCCACACUGGUACUGAGACACGGACCAGACUCCUACGGGAGGCAGCAGUGGGGAAUAUUGCGCAAUGGGCGAAAGCCUGACGCAGCCACGCCGCGUGAGCGAUGAAGGCCUUGGUCGUAAGCUCUGUGGGGAGGAGAAGAAUAAAGACC
rnacentral:rRNA from 1 species